rnacentral:tRNA from 1 species
GGUUGUGGCUCAGUGGUAGAGCGCUCCCCUAGUAUGUGCAAGGCCCUGGGUUCAUUCCCCAGUACCA